CUUUAUUCUCCAUAAAAAUCUAGAAUACAAUUUCUCUCUCUCUCUCACUCAUUUUAUUAUCUUUGCUGGCUAUAGAUAAAUGAUAAUAAAUAUUUGUCCUACAAAAAGUCAAAAGGACAACACUUCUCUGGUUUAUUUUUCUUUUCCAACAUUCAGUUUCCUGGAUUCCAAGAAAUUCUUAUUCUUAUGUUCACAAGAUGUAAUGUAUUCCAUAAAACUUGCAAAAUCUGUAUCCUUGUAAAGCUUUGGAUUGUCCUCGUUGAUGAGUUUCGGAGACGGUCGAAUCUUUCUGCUGAAAGGUAAACUGUGCAAUGAAGCAAUGGAGAUUCUAGACUUUGCAUGAUUGACAAGAACCCUAUGAAGUACGCUUUUGUAUCUCCCAUUGCUAAAUAUCUCAAGAUGAUCACCCACGUUAAUGACAAAAGAGUUAGGAAUGGGUUCCACGGUUACCCAUCUCCCUUGGUGUUGAAUUUGAAGACCCUUAACUAAUUCAUCUUGAAGAAGCAGUGUAAGGAAGCCAUAGUCAGAAUGGGGUGGCAUGCCAAGAGUUAGAUCAGGUUCAGGACAUGAAGGGUAGCAAUUCAACACUAUGAUUUGGCUUCCAUCUUCAAAUUCAUUUAAGUAACUAUCGUUUUCAGGACCACUUUUGUUGUUUUCCACAAGUCCUAAACUCUCCAGGAUUGCCUCCACAAGCAUCAUAUACAAGAAUUUUGUUUGUUUAGAGUAGUUAACCGCUGCUUCCCUUAGUUCUGAAGGAGAGGAAGGCCAAAAAGGAAGAGUUUCAGAGAGGGGAUGGCAAUUAAGCUUUAAGAAAUCUCUCCAGCAAAACACCUUAUCUUUGUUCUGGUUGAAACUCGUUCCAUAUCUUGCAGGUGAAAACAUGUCUUUGGACAUGUAUUUGGAUCUCUUCUCAAAAGGGAGCUCAAAAAAUUUCCUACCCUCUUGAACCAUACUACUUGUAGCUUCACUUGAAAUGCCAUGGUUUAUCAACUGGAAGAAUCCAUAUUCUUCACAAGCUCUGGAAAGAGAUUGGAGAGCUUGAACUCUGUUUGAGCCUUGUAAUUGUGCAAAAUCGAUGACUGGUAAACUGAGAUCAUGAUCAUUAGAGAAGUUACCAUCCUUGUUCCCUGUAUUAGGACGUUCCAGUACUGGUAAUAUGUAUUUUGUAGGAACUUUCGUUAUCCCUCUUUCGCAGAGAUACUUCACUCCUUUAUGAUACUGAUGAUCUUCUUCAUCAGGACGAUGGAGUACAGCACCCAAAGGCUGGUGGUGG
rnacentral:misc_RNA from 1 species